rnacentral:rRNA from 1 species
CCUACGGGAGGCAGCAGUGAGGAAUAUUGGUCAAUGGACGAGAGUCUGAACCAGCCAAGUAGCGUGAAGGAUGACUGCCCUAUGGGUUGUAAACUUCUUUUAUAUGGGAAUAAAACGUUCCACGUGUGGGAUUUUGUAUGUACCAUAUGAAUAAGGAUCGGCUAACUCCGUGCCAGCAGCCGCGGUAAUACGGAGGAUCCGAGCGUUAUCCGGAUUUAUUGGGUUUAAAGGGAGCGUAGGUGGAUUGUUAAGUCAGUUGUGAAAGUUUGCGGCUCAACCGUAAAAUUGCAGUUGAAACUGGCAGUCUUGAGUACAGUAGAGGUGGGCGGAAUUCGUGGUGUAGCGGUGAAAUGCUUAGAGAUCUCGAAGAACUCCGAUUGCGAAGGCAGUUCACUGGACUGCAACUGACACUGAGGCUCGAAAGUGUGGGUAUCAAACAGGAUUAGAUACCCGAGUAGUC